rnacentral:lncRNA from 1 species
UUAUUCCAUUCACAGAAAGGAACACCAGAUAGUGAUGGUGUAUUUUUCACAGAGGUGCACAUCCAGAUCUCAACAGGAAGGCCCUGUAAGUGCCAAAACCCUUCUGAACUCAGAUGUGUUCAACUCACUGUGACUGGAGAGAAAGAGUUUUUCUCCCAAUAAAAUGAACGAUGCCUGAGAAUGCAGAAGAGGAUGUGCUGACUGUUAUUGGUUCCCCUAUGAUCAACAAAGGAGGAAAGAACAAGAAAGAGUUCACCUGGGAAUGGCUCACAGCUCUCUCCUGUCAAAAGUCUUUGUACAGAAGGUUGCAAACUUCCUGUGGGGCCUGAGUGGAGGCUUGCUGCAGAAUAGUCCAUUGCUCCGAGGGCAGUUAAAGGACAGUCCCAGUGCUGGAAAAAAGGCAAAGACCUGGCUAACAGAAUAGCCCCAGUGCAGCAAGUUUGGGUAACAGUUCCUCCGGAGCAAGAAUUGAAUGGGAGCAGAAGAGGCUUAUGGCUUCCCCAGCAAACUUGUGCUGGUUGAGGUUGCACCUUGUACAUGUCCUUGGAGAGGAUGAACUUUCUCCUUUAUGGCCCUUGACCACUUCCGGAGACACAUGAAGAACUAGUGCAUUGUCAUUAAAUGAGGUAUUAGAAUAGUCUGAGCCCAGGAAAUUUUUACUUGCUCUCAUGCCAGGAACUGCUUGCCUAAUAAAACAGGCCUCUUCCCAAAGACUGAGAGGGGA